CUUCAGUGUGUUAGUAGAACAGGUUAGUGAACUCAGCCCCAGGACCAGCUGGAUGAGGGGACUGAGGCUUCAGUGUGUUAGUAGAACAGGUUUGUGAACUCAGCCCCAGGACCAGCUGGAUGAGGGGACUGAGGCUUCAGUGUGUUAGUAGAACAGGUUUGUGAACUCAGCCCCAGGACCAGCUGGAUGAGGGGACUGAGGCUUCAGUGUGUUAGUAGAACAGGUUUGUGAACUCAGCCCCAGGACCAGCUGGAUGAGGGGACUGAGGCUUCAGUGUGUUAGUAGAACAGGUUAGUGAACUCAGCCCCAGGACCAGCUGGAUGAGGGGACUGAGGCUUCAGUGUGUUAGUAGAACAGGUUAGUGAACUCAGCCCCAGGACCAGCUGGAUGAGGGGACUGAGGCUUCAGUGUGUUAGUAGAACAGGUUAGUGAACUCAGCCCCAGGACCAGCUGGAUGAGGGGACUGAGGCUUCAGUGUGUUAGUAGAACAGGUUAGUGAACUCAGCCCCAGGACCAGCUGGAUGAGGGGACUGAGACUUCAGUGUGUUAGUAGAACAGGUUAGUGAACUCAGCCCCAGGACCAGCUGGAUGAGGGGACUGAGGCUUCAGUGUGUUAGUAGAACAGGUUAGUGAACUCAGCCCCAGGACCAGCUGGAUGAGGGGACUGAGGCUUCAGUGUGUUAGUAGAACAGGUUAGUGAACUCAGCCCCAGGACCAGCUGGAUGAGGGGACUGAGGCUUCAGUGUGUUAGUAGAACAGGUUAGUGAACUCAGCCCCAGGACCAGCUGGAUGAGGGGACUGAGGCUUCAGUGUGUUAGUAGAACAGGUUUGUGAACUCAGCCCCAGGACCAGCUGGAUGAGGGGACUGAGGCUUCAGUGUGUUAGUAGAACAGGUUUGUGAACUCAGCCCCAGGACCAGCUGGAUGAGGGGACUGAGGCUUCAGUGUGUUAGUAGAACAGGUUUGUGAACUCAGCCCCAGGACCAGCUGGAUGAUGGGACUGAGGCUUCAGUGUGUUAGUAGAACAGGUUUGUGAACUCAGCCCCAGGACCAGCUGGAUGAGGGGACUGAGGCUUCAGUGUGUUAGUAGAACAGGUUUGUGAACUCAGCCCCAGGACCAGCUGGAUGAGGGGACUGAGGCUUCAGUGUGUUAGUAGAACAGGUUUGUGAACUCAGCCC